rnacentral:lncRNA from 1 species
AUUUUCUCAACAUUAACAAUAUAAGAAUUGAAAAAAUAUUCUUGAGAAGUGCAGUAAUAUUUAUCAUAUCAAAUCUUAACUGCUUAGCUAUCAAUGAAUCAAAUAUUUACAUCGACCUAGCACUAUAUUAGCAGUACAAAACCUUUUUCAUAUUGCUAAUACGGUGUGGUAAAUACACAUAUAUAUGCAGAAUAUAUAAUAAGGUAUUUAAAAUAAUGGAAACGAAAGAUAUCCUGGAUAGCAUGAGAAAAUUAUAUGCAAGAAGCACAUAAGUUCAUAAAAAUGCUGUAUUCAGCAGCAAAAUUGAAAAUAGUGCAGAAGACAGAUUUAAGAAUAGCUAGUAGAAGAGCCCAUACUGUUUUUAAUAGGCUAAGAAAUGAUAAAGAGCAGUCAGUAUAAGGGAAAGCAAAAGAUGAGUUUCUUUAUAGUACUACUACAAAGAAACUCAUCUUUAUGUAUAAAACUAUUUGUAGAUCUUUUCUUUGUAGAUCUACAAAUAGCUAAGAAACUCAUCUUUAUGUAUAAUAAAAAGAUCUACAAAGAGAAAAAAGAAUACAUUAAAGUUAUUAAGAAUAGUUUAGCAGACAGAAUAGCAGAACAUAGCUUGAUAUAUGAGCAGGAAAAUUGGGAACUGCAUUGGCUAGGCUAGCUUAUGAAUAUGAUGUAAAUAUCAAAUGUGUAAUGCUAAGGUGAGAAAACUAUGUGCUUCUCUAAAAGAAAGCUUGAUAUGAGAAUCUUUAGAAAUAUUAAGAACAGCUGAGAGUAAAAACAUAAUAAAUGAACAGCAAUCUGAAAUUAUUUUGGAAGCUUGGAC